UCAGAUUUUUAAAAGUCACAAAAUAAUCGAUUGUGAACAUAUGACAAUCGAUUGUGUUAAGGCAGUGUCUUCCAGACUUUGUCAAAGUUAUUAAAUAAUCGAUUGUGAGUAUAUAACAAUCGAUUGUUAUGAGGCAGUGUCUAAAAUGAUUUUCAAAGUCUGAUAAAUAAUCGAUUGUUAACAUUGCGCAAUCGAUUGUGAAGCUGACCGUUGUCGUAAAGUUUUC
rnacentral:lncRNA from 1 species